AUGUCAGCAACAAAGCCUCCGUUAAAAAAGUCAUUAUUAGUUAUGGCGACAGACAUGGAUUUAUCACCAUUCCUAAAUCAACAUUAUAAGGAACUAAGAAGGUUUUGGCAAAAAGAAUGUAGAAAACAGCAGAAUCAAAGGCAAAUAAACAGAUUUUUUUUAAAACAACCCGUCAAACUGAUCACUAGUUCGAAUCAGUGUUGUCAAAAUACAAGAUGA